rnacentral:rRNA from 1 species
GGAUCAGUAGGUUGGUCGUGCCACUGGUAUGUACUGGUCUCACUGGUUCCUCCUUCUUGUAGAACCGUAAUGCCAUUAAUUUGGUGUUGCGGGGAAACAGGACUGUUACUUUGAAAAAAUUAGAGUGUUUAAAACAGGCUUAUGCUUGAAUACUACAGCAUGGAAUAACGGAAUAGGACU